UACAGAGGGGGCGAGCGUUAUUCGGAAUUAUUGGGCGUAAAGGGCGCGUAGGCGGCCCUUCAAGUGACGGGUGAAAUCCCUCGGCUCAACCGAGGAACUGCCUGUCAGACUGAGGGGCUUGAGACCGGGAGAGGUGAGUGGAAUUCCCAGUGUAGCGGUGAAAUGCGUAGAUAUUGGGAGGAACACCAGUGGCGAAGGCGGCUCACUGGACCGGAACUGACGCUGAGGCGCGAAAGCGUGGGGAGCAAACAGG
rnacentral:misc_RNA from 1 species